UACGUAGGUGGCGAGCGUUGUCCGGAAUUAUUGGGCGUAAAGCGCGCGCAGGCGGGAUAUUAAGUCUAUUCUAAAAGUGCGGGGCUCAACCCCGUGAUGGGAUGGAAACUAAUAUUCUUGAGUGCCGGAGAGGAAAGCGGAAUUCCCAGUGUAGCGGUGAAAUGCGUAGAUAUUGGGAGGAACACCAGUGGCGAAGGCGGCUUUCUGGACGGUGUCUGACGCUGAGGCGCGAAAGCCAGGGGAGCGAACGGG
rnacentral:rRNA from 1 species